AACUCAUCCAGAGGGGCAGAGGGAUACGGCCCGGUGAAGCCCCGGCAACCAUCGCAUCCAGCGAAUCUCGCACAGCGAGGCAGGUGCGACAGGUGCCAACUCCGUCCCGGUUGAACCGGGAGAGAUGAGGA
rnacentral:ncRNA from 2 species